GGCCUAAUGGCCCAAUGGCAAGGCGCUUGACUACGAAUCAAGAGAUUCCAGGUUGUAAGUUACACAACACUUCUACACCACCUUCAGUUCGAAUCUCAACUAACACU